UGCAUCUUGAUUUUUAUCACAUUUCUUUGAGCUUUCUUGGAAGGUUCAUCUUUCAAUCUGUUUUAGAUUAAAUAUCAAUCUAUUGUGUGGUGUGUAGGAAAGACAUUCAGAUAUCGGUUUCUCUCAUCCAUUUUCUAUUUCAUUCUCUUAGAAUUCAACUUCACAAUACUUUGUGUUGCCUCUAAGUUUCUUUGUUUCCACAAGCACCCUCCAUAAGUUUUCUUACGCAGAAGAUUAUAGUCUCAAUUUGUUUACUCACAUAUUUUACAGACACAUGCUUUUCACGACAGAAACACGAGUGAUUAUCCAGAUCUUGAACCAAUUGGAAAGAUGAUUGUAGACAAGUGUGGAGGGUUGCCAUUAGCUGUUAAAACAAUGGGGAACCUCUUGAGAAAAAAAUUCUCUAAAAGUGAAUGGGAGAAAAUAUUGAAGACUGAUAUGUGGCGUUUAUCAGAGAGAGACAGCAACAUAAAUCCAGUAUUGAGACUGAGUUACCACAAUCUUCCUUCAAAUUCGAAGCGUUGUUUUGCAUAUUGUUCCAUAUUUCCCAAGGGUUAUAUCUUUGAUAAGAAUAAGUUAAUCAAUAUGUGGAUGGCAAAUGGUUUGCUGAAUUCCUACAAAAGUAACAAAAGUAAAGAAGAGUUGGGUAGUGAAUCGUUCGAAGAUCUUGAAUCAAUUUCAUUUUUCCAAAGAUAUCUAGAUUCUGAUGGUUGGUUUGUCAUGCAUGAUCUUGUCAAUGACUUGGCAAAAUCAGAGUCUCGAGAAUAUUGAACUACAAGGGAUUUCUCCACCUCAAAUCUCUUGAUAAUAUAUGGAUUUGCAACUGCCCUAGCCUUGAGAGUUUGCCGGAGGAGGGUCUACCCAAUUCCCUUUCUGAUUUGUACAUUGAAAAUUGUCCAUUACUUUCAGAGAAGUACAAAAAGGAGGGAGGAGAGCGUUGGCAUACAAUUAGUCAUAUCCCUACUGUGCGGAUUGACGGUAUUCAUCAGCAUUAGAUUGAACGGUAGAAAUGAGAUGUUUGUCACAG